AAAGACUUUUGUCAGUGUGUUUCAUGAGCUUUGUACAAAAUUUGACUUUGGAGUAGCCAUGUAUAACUUGGUGGCUGAGCAAGGCGAACCCCACAGUCGAACUUUCUUGAUGAAUUUGACUGUAGACAUGUUGGGUAUUUCAGUUGAAGGCAUUGGCUUAACCAAGAUGCAAGCAAAGCAUGAUGCUGCCUAUAAAAUGAUGCUUCAAAUCAGGGAGACUUAUCGAGCCGAUGGAACUCUCAACAAUGUCCCCAGAGUAAAACUCGUGAACUGCUGUGAAUGGCUGGAAAAAUGUGGAACACUAAAGGAAGACAUACCCAAACCACCAACAGAACCAACUCUAAAUCCAUCUGGGGUUCUCACAGAAUGGUGUUUGACCAGACACAGCAGUCUUCCUGAUUACAGGGUUGUUCGAACUUCAGGUCCUUCUCACUCCAAAACAUAUUUUAUGACUUGCAAGCUUGGGGAUCGUAUCACUGAAGGUGAGGGAAAGUCAAAGAAGGCUGCCAAAAAUGUCGCUGCCGGAAAAAUGCUCCAGAUACUUUAAGACGAAGAGUUGUAAUAGCUAUUCCGAGAAACGUGAUUUCAUAAGUGCACGCUGGAUAUGGAAAACGAUAUGAACUUGUAAAAAUUUGUCCCGUUCAGUUCUUGCAGGGCCUACACAUUUUCGCUGUAGUAGAGAUUUCGAUUUCUACGUAUGUACUUUCUGUUUUCCCGCAAAGAAGCUUUCGCUUUCGAAUUCAACAGUUAUUAUUGACUACCAUACUGGCCAAGAACAAAGAUCAAGAAACCUGCGGCAAUUAUUUGUAACAUACCUUUCUACUCGCCACCGCCUUAUUGUACAGUGCCUGGAGCUCUCUGUAAGGCUUUCACGCUGUCUAGAAAAAUUCGUAUAAAAUGGGUUCCUCCAAGCGCGAAUGCAAGUCAGUGCGCUCACCAUUGCCAUGCUGUUCUCAUGGCUAGUUUCAGUUUUGUUGGCAAUCCUUCACGCUGUAGCGUGGUGUGGCCUCUUGGCGUUUAUUUGUCUCGUCUUUUGGUCCAACAAUAACCGAGCGUUCGCCCGUUUAGUCUUUCUCGUGUCUCCGUUAAAUGCAGUGAUGCGUCUCUAAAUUUUGCUUGAAGGACGACAAGAGUUAUACUGGAUUACUGGUCUGCAUUUAAUGUAUACGAUGUUAUAUAAUACUCGUUUACUACUUACGACGGCAAAACAUUUUGCUUACUCGUUUCUCAUCAUCAAUUAUUGUAAAUUCCUAUUGUGCUUCCACUAUCGCCGGUGUUAAUCCUACGCUACUGCUCGAAUUCGCCAGUAGCCUUUCACUGCUUGUUAUCUUCUUGUGUCUCUAAAUACAGACAAGAGUUGACCUCUCA
rnacentral:misc_RNA from 1 species